GGGUUCCUAUGGGGCGCAGCAGUGGGGAAUAUUGCGCAAUGGGGGCAACCCUGACGCAGCAACGCCGCGUGAUUGAAGAAGGCCUUCGGGUUGUAAAGAUCUUUAAUCAGGGACGAAAAAUGACGGUACCUGAAGAAUAAGCUCCGGCUAAAUACGUGCCAGCAGCCGCGGUAAUACGUAUGGAGCAAGCGUUAUCCGGAUUUACUGGGUGUAAAGGGAGCGCAGACGGCAGGGCAAGUCUGAUGUGAAAGUCCGGGGCUCAACCCCGGGACUGCAUUGGAAACUGUCCGGCUAGAGUGCAGGAG
rnacentral:rRNA from 1 species